rnacentral:rRNA from 1 species
CACAUGCAAGUCGAGGGGCAGCAUGGUCUUAGCUUGCUAAGGCCGAUGGCGACCGGCGCACGGGUGAGUAACACGUAUCCAACCUGCCGUCUACUCUUGGACAGCCUUCUGAAAGGAAGAUUAAUACAAGAUGGCAUCAUGAGUCCGCAUGUUCACAUGAUUAAAGGUAUUCCGGUAGACGAUGGGGAUGCGUUCCAUUAGAUAGUAGGCGGGGUAACGGCCCACCUAGUCUUCGAUGGAUAGGGGUUCUGAGAGGAAGGUCCCCCACAUUGGAACUGAGACACGGUCCAAACUCCUACGGGAGGCAGCAGUGAGGAAUAUUGGUCAAUGGGCGAGAGCCUGAACCAGCCAAGUAGCGUGAAGGAUGACUGCCCUAUGGGUUGUAAACUUCUUUUAUAAAGGAAUAAAGUCGGGUAUGGAUACCCGUUUGCAUGUACUUUAUGAAUAAGGAUCGGCUAACUCCGUGCCAGCAGCCGCGGUAAUACGGAGGAUCCGAGCGUUAUCCGGAUUUAUUGGGUUUAAAGGGAGCGUAGAUGGAUGUUUAAGUCAGUUGUGAAAGUUUGCGGCUCAACCGUAAAAUUGCAGUUGAUACUGGAUAUCUUGAGUGCAGUUGAGGCAGGCGGAAUUCGUGGUGUAGCGGUGAAAUGCUUAGACAUCACGAAGAACUCCGAUUGCGAAGGCAGCCUGCUAAGCUGCAACU